rnacentral:rRNA from 1 species
AUUGAACGCUGGCGGCAGGCCUAACACAUGCAAGUCGAACGAGUGGCGGACGGGUGAGUAAUGUCUGGGAAACUGCCCGAUGGAGGGGGAUAACUACUGGAAACGGUAGCUAAUACCGCAUACCAUCGGAUGUGCCCAGAUGGGAUUAGCUUGUAGGUGAGGUAACGGCUCACCUAGGCGACGAUCCCUCCCUGGUCUGAGAGGAUGACCAGCCAAACUGGAACUGAGAAACGGGCCAGACUCCUACGGGAGGCAGUAGUGGGGAAUAGUGCACAAUGGGCGAAAGCCUGAUGCAGCCAUGCGGGGUGUAUGAAGAAGGCCUUGGGGUUGUAAAGUACUUUCAGCGGGGAGGCGUUACCCGCAGAAGAAGCACCGGCUAACUCCGUGCCAGCAGCCGCGGUAAUAC